ensembl:snRNA U6 U6 spliceosomal RNA
GUGCUCGCUUCAGCAGCACAUAUACUAACACUGAAACGAUACAGAGAAGAUUAGCAUGGCCCCUGCAUAAGGAUGACAUGCAAAUUUGUGAAGCGUUCCAUAUUAAA